UCGCCCUACCUCUUCUCUCCUCCCCCAACCAGGCCGGGAAAGGAGUGGGUGCCCCCCACUCUCAGACCAGGGGUUGUGGGGUCUCACUGCAGCGCUAUCACGCCGGCUUCCCAUGAUCUGGCUGGAGGCAUAUCCCGGCAGGCUUGUUUAGAGCUGGUGCUGGCCCAAAAGAAAUGAGUUGUCAUAAAAGUGCCCAGGCACAGAACUCGGGUGAGCUGCCCCUGGCCUGUACCUGCCCCCAGCGUCUGCAAAACACCCUCACGCUGCAGCGUGAGCAGCCCCCUGCAUUGCCCCAAGACCCUGGCCUGCAAAGCCCUCACUGCAGCCGGAGCAGCCCCCUGCACUGCCCCAAGACCCUGGCCUGCAAAGCCCUCACUGCAGCCGGAGCAGCCCCCUGCACUGUCCCAAGACCCUGGCCUGCAAAGCACCCCCUCGCUGCAGCUGGAGCAGCCCCCUGCACUGCCCCAAGACCCUGGCCUGCAAAGCCCUCACUGCAGCCGGAGCAGCCCCCUGCACUGUCCCAAGACCCUGGCCUGCAAAGCACCCCCUCGCUGCAGCUGGAGCAGCCCCCUGCACUGCCCCAAGACCCUGGCCUGCAAAGCCCUCACUGCAGCCGGAGCAGCCCCCUGCACUGUCCCAAGACCCUGGCCUGCAAAGCACCCCCUCGCUGCAGCUGGAGAGCCCCCUGCACUGACCCAAGACCCUGGCCUGCAAAGCCCUCACUGCAGCCGGAGCAGCCCCUUGCACUGCCCCAAGACCCUGGCCUGCAAAGCACCCCCUCGCUGCAGCCAGAGCAGCCUCUUCACUGCACCAAGGAAAUAGCGCUGUCCUCAAGUCCAAAGUUUCCUGACUGCUUGGAAGUUCUGACAAUGUUUAUAACAGCUACUGAAACACCUCAAAAUCCCAUAACCCUCAGCCAAAAAAUGUACAAUUUAAUGGAUAAAGCCAUCUGCUUUAAGAUUAGAAUGCUGGAGCCUGUGAGGCUGUUCCCUUAAAGCUGAUCCUGAAAGCUGCUGCUUCAUGCUUAAUUUGCUGCGCUUCAGUUGGACAUUGUGACAGUUUUGGUGUUUAUGAACAAGACUGCUAUUUACAGAAAAUGCUGCCUCCCAUUUGACAGCAGUUAGAUACUGAGAGAAACUCACUGGAAAGUGGGUAGGUCAGAGAUGGAAAAAGCAGAUUUUGCACAUGAAAAACUUCCUGGAAAAGAGUUUACAAAAUGACUGCCAGCAUUUCCAUGGAAACCCCCAAAAAUAAAGACUUUCCCAGCCUUGUGAGAACACACCUGCAAGAACCAGAAUCACAUUUAGCCUUUGGCAUGUCAAAAGUGACUCUCCUUCAUUUUGGUGUCACCUAAGGACAUUUGUUUUUACACUACAUAUGGAUAUGUUCUCUCAAAAUUUGCGGGAAGUAUAUAUUAAUUUAAAAUUGCUAUCAUUUGAACUCUUGCCAUUGAGUAGUAACAAAUGUGUUUUGCUAUCCAACAAUUCUCUCUUUAAAAUGUUACUUCAUUCUCUUUUUACGGGAAAAUAAACAAAGAAAAGGAACUGCUCUAAAGACCGUAGAGCUGAGGUUUGCAGUCCUGAGACAACAGAAUUAAGAAUCUUUAGAAAUAAGAAUUGUGUUCAGAUCUUUUUAAAUUGCUAAUCUUGUACAGAUACGUUUUUAGAUAACAAGCCAAAUUUUCAGCAUCCCAAUUUCAAAUUUUUCAUGCCCAACCACUUGUGCCAGGUAACUGCCCCAUACUUAAAGAAAACAUGAAUUGGCAUGUGCAAAAUGACUGCACACCAUUCUCUUCCCCCCCUCCCCCCGCGCCACAUGUCUACUUUUUUCCAAACACAGUCAGUUGUGGAUGCAAAGCUGGAUUCACAAAAUUGGAAACUGGCUAAAAAAAUUGCCCCUUGGUGGUUUUGUUUGCUAUGUAUCAAAGCUGUUGAUUUUUACAUAUUUCUAAAGGUACUCUGUCAGUACUACAGCACUAAGGAGCAACCUUACAUCAACCAAACUUGCAAAUGAACACUAAAGGAAAGUGAGGAGAUUUUUUGCUAAGGAAACCUUCUCCAAGGAUCCCUUACACAGUGAGUGAAAAAAGGGACAUUUUAGAUAAUUUAAGAAAUACACCUGGAGAUUGUCUUAACUCAAUAGUGGCAAAGUAAGUACUUUCAGAAUCAUUUCCAUGAAUAUUUGGUCAAAUAAAACAGCUGAACUGAACUCAGCCUUGUCCACGCCCCAAUUUGUUUGCUUUUCACAAAUAUUCUAACAAGUGAGUUCACUGGCAAGAUUAUCUGAGGUUACCUUUACUCUUACUGAAUAGUGAAUCCAUGAAUAAUCCUACUGAAGGUAAUUGGUUGUUUUGUGAAGUAAGGCACUACUCAACAUAAGAAAGGAUAUCAACAGCUGCCUCUACAUUAAUAUUAAAGAAUAUUCACAGAAACCAAUUUUUUAUCUCAAACACUUCCAAACUGUAUCAAUGCAACUACAUCGAACUAAAGAGUACAACUGAAAUUUUGAACAGCAGAUGUAGCGAAUGGACGACAAUUAAUCUGCAGAUUCAGCAUUAUUUGCACAAAUUACAUGGUGAAUAAUUUCAAACAAUAAAUAGAUUAGAGAAAAUCAUACGGUGUUUGUGGGACAAUCCACAAGCAGAAAAAAAUGCUAAAUUAAAAUGUUGUUUAUGCACUCAGCUAUACUUUGAUAACCAAGAGUUACUCUCUGAUAAUAACUCACUUCAUCGGAUACAUCCGAUGAAGUGAGCUGUAGCUCAUGAAAGCUUAUGCUCAAAUAAAUUUGUUAGUCUCUAAGAUGCCAUAAGUACUCUUUUUUUUUUUCCUCUCUCUGAUAAUAUUCGAUCUGGUUGAGUGCAUUUUGAACAUAAAUUUAGAUAUAGACUGAGGCCUAAUUAUGAUACAUCUAUAUACAGCUUACUGUUAUGUAUAAGAGAGACAAGGUGAGUGAGGUAGUAUCUUUUAGUGGACCAACUUCUGUUGGUGGAAGGGACAAGUUUUGGAGCACGGAACAAGAAUGUCCAAGUUAAAUAUAAGAUGGGACAGACUGUUUAAGGAUAGGGGGUUCAUACACAUUGUUGGAGACCACUUAAAAUGAAGUGGGCAAUUAACAUCUCUGCAGUCAUAGGACAAUGAAGGGUUUAAGUAACAGGGUAUGUUGCAAAUUGUUGUAAUGGCAUCUCUGUUAGGUCCGUUGUUUUUAGUGUCCAGCAGAGUUAUGAAUUGAAAUUCCCAGGCUUGUCUCAUGAAGAUGUUGUGCAGGUUUCCUUUGAAGAUGAGGACUGAGAGGUUAGAUAUGAAGUUAUUGCUUUGUAAGAAGUGUUUGCUCCUGGGUGAUAUGGUGUUUUUGUCAUUUAUAAUUUUUUACAACAUAUCUUUCAAGAUCCAUAAGUCCUACACAUGCCUAUUACAAUAAGUGGUGUAUCUAAUCCAAUGCAUCAAAUGCCCCAACAACAACUAUAUGGGUGAAACCAAUCACUAUGCUCUAGAUUGAACACUCAGAGAAAAAAAAAUGAUAAACGCCACAUUUUGUGUAUCACCGAUGCGAGAACACUUUUCACAAAGUGAUCACUCCGUAUCUGACCUCUCAGUCCUCAUCUUCAUAGGAUGCAGCACCUUCAAGAGAUGAGCAUGGGAACUUAGGCCUGAUCUACACUAGAACAUUAAGUUAGCUUAACAACAUCGUCCAGGGGUGUGAAAAAAAUCUACACCCCUGAACAGCACAGUUAAACUGACCUAACCCACAAGUGUAGACAGCACUGGGUCUACAGAAGAAUUCUCCUAGCUACUGCCUCUCUGGCAGGUGCAUUACCUAUACUGAUGGGAGAAUCCCUCCUGUCGGCAUUGGUAGUGUCUAUAUUGAAGUGCUAGAGCAAUGCAGCUAUGCCACUAUAGCAGGGGUUCUCAAACUGGGGGUCUGGACCCCUCAGGGGGUAUGAGGUUAUCACAUGGGGGUUAUGAGCUGUCAGCCUCCACUCUAAACCCUGCUUUGCUUCCAGCAUCUAUAAUGGUGUUAAAUAUAUAAAACAGUGUUUUUAAUUUAUUGGGGGGGGUCAUACUCAGAGGCUUGCUAUGUGAAAGGAGUCACCAGUAUAAAACUGCACUAUAGCAUUUCAAAUGUAGACAAGCCCUUAAAUUCAUAAUUGCUGAACAGUAAAAACCAUGGACUUGAGACACUGAUUUUAUGGCCCAUUUCAACAAUCUAUAACAUACCCUGCUACCUCCACUGUCUGACCCUCCCACUACUACCUCUCCAUUUUCCUUUGAGUGCAGGGUGUUACUUGCCCACUUUAUUUAAAGUCGUCUCCUACAACCUGUGAACCCAUUAUGUUUAACGAUCUGUCCCGCCCCCCCCCCCGUAUUUUGCUUGGCCACCUCUGUACCUUCUCCAGACCUGAGGAAGAGUUCUGUGAAGCCUGAAAGCUUGUCCCUUCUACCCACAGAAGCUGGUCCAAUAAAAGAUAUUAUCUCACCUGCCUUGUCUCUCUUAUAUCUCUCAACAUAGCUACAACGCUACCACAAACAACCAGUCACUCUCAAGUGUGCUAUACCAUCUCAGGCUGAUUGCAUUAGGGCUGGACUUGUCUGAUACUCAUAUAAGAGAUCUUCAUGAAAAAUACAGGUGGAUGCACAAAAUGGUGUUGACAAUUUUGGAUAAGACAAAUCUCAAGGUCCUGAAUACUUGCAGUCCUUAAAGUUCCUAAGUCAUUUUCAUUUUCAAGAACAGGAAUGUAAUCCAACA